CAGGGAGCUCCCCGGGGGGGAAGUUCAGGUGCAAAUUCGUCGAAAUGCGACUUGAUUGUAUGGAGACGAGGUUUCCCCCGACACCUGGAGAGAGGAGAAGAGGUUUUCCAAACAAGCUUCUGAGAGAACGACAAGGAGCUGCAGCUGCAGGAGAGCAUCUGACCUCCGUCUACUUCCUCUGUUCUUCAGACUCAACAGGAGGAUUCCUCUCGCUAUCUUGGACCAGUAAAUUGACCAGUAAAUCUUUCAACCACAGUCUGUUGAAUAAAGUGCUCCUUAAAACAG